UACGUAGGGUGCGAGCGUUAAUCGGAAUUACUGGGCGUAAAGGGCGCGUAGGCGGUUGGAUAAGUCAGCUGUGAAAACCACGGGCUUAACUCGUGGCCUGCAGUUGAGACUGUCUGGCUUGAGUGUGGGAGAGGAGAGUGGAAUUCCUGGUGUAGCGGUGAAAUGCGUAGAUAUCAGGAGGAACACCGGUGGCGAAGGCGGCUCUCUGGACCACAACUGACGCUGAGGCGCGAAAGCUAGGGGAGCAAACAGG
rnacentral:rRNA from 1 species